ACGCUGGCGGCAUGCCUAAUACAUGCAAGUCGAACGGGAGUGCUUGCACUCCAGUGGCGAACGGGUGAGUAACACGUAUCUAACCUACCUUUUAGUGGGGGAUAACUUUUGGAAACGAAAGAUAAUACCGCAUAUUAAUAUCAUUAUCGCAUGAGAAGAUAUUCAAAGAUCCGUUUGGAUCGCUAAAAGAUGGGGAUGCGGCGUAUUAGUUAGUAGGCGGGGUAAUGGCCCACCUAGACAAUGAUACGUAGCCGAACUGAGAGGUUGAUCGGCCACAUUGGGACUGAGAUACGGCCCAGACUCCUACGGGAGGCAGCAGUAGGGAAUUUUUCACAAUGGACGAAAGUCUGAUGAAGCAAUGCCGCGUGAGUGAUGACGGCCUUCGGGUUGUAAAGCUCUGUUGUAAGGGAAGAAAAAAUUUGAGAGGAAAUGCUCUUAUCUUGACGGUACCUUACCAGAAAGCCACGGCUAACUAUGUGCCAGCAGCCGCGGUAAUACAUAGGUGGCAAGCGUUAUCCGGAUUUAUUGGGCGUAUAGGGUGCGUAGGCGGUUUCGCAAGUUUGAGGUUAAAGCCCGGAGCUCAACUCCGGUUCGCCUUGAAAACUGUGGGACUAGAAUAUCAGAGAGGUAAACGGAAUUCCAUGUGUAGCGGUAAAAUGCGUAGAUAUAUGGAAGAACACCAGUGGCGAAAGCGGUUUACUGGCUGAUUAUUGACGCUGAGGCACGAAAGCGUGGGGAGCAAAUAGGAUUAGAUACCCUAGUAGUCCACGCCGUAAACGUUGAGUACUAAGUAUUGGGGAUUACCUCAGUGCUGCAGCUAACGCAUUAAGUACUCCGCCUGAGUAGUAUGCUCGCAAGAGUGAAACUCAAAGGAAUUGACGGGGACCCGCACAAGUGGUGGAGCAUGUGGUUUAAUUCGAAGCAACACGAAGAACCUUACCAGGGCUUGACAUCCAGUGCAAAGCUACAGAGAUGUAGUGGAGGUAAACAUUGAGACAGGUGGUGCAUGGUUGUCGUCAGUUCGUGCCGUGAGGUGUUGGGUUAAGUCCCGCAACGAACGCAACCCUUGUCGUUAGUUACUAACAUUAAGUUGAGGACUCUAACGAGACUGCUAGUGUAAGCUAGAGGAAGGUGGGGAUGACGUCAAAUCAUCAUGCCCCUUAUGUCCUGGGCUACACACGUGCUACAAUGGCUGGUACAAAGAGUCGCAAUCUCGCGAGGGGGAGCUAAUCUCAAAAAACCAGUCUCAGUUCGGAUUGAAGUCUGCAACUCGACUUCAUGAAGCCGGAAUCACUAGUAAUCGCGGAUCAGCUAUGCCGCGGUGAAUACGUUCUCGGGUCUUGUACACACCGCCCGUCAAACCACGAGAGUUGGUAAUACCAGAAGUACGUAGCCUAACCGUAAGGAAGGCGCGUCCCAAGGUAGGACUAGCGAUUGGGGUUAAGUCGUAACAAGGUAUCCGUACGGGAACGUGCGGAUGGAUCA
rnacentral:rRNA from 1 species